rnacentral:rRNA from 1 species
UCUGGUGGUCAUAGCGGAGGGGAAACACCCGUUCCCAUUCCGAACACGGAAGUUAAGCCCUCCAGCGCCGAUGGUACUGGGGAUCUAGCCCCCGGGAGAGCAGGUCGCCGCCAGAA